rnacentral:rRNA from 1 species
UUGACCUACGGGGGGCAGCAGUGAGGAAUAUUGGUCAAUGGGAGAGAUCCUGAACCAGCCAAGCCGCGUGAGGGAAGACGGCCUUCGGGUUGUAAAAUUCUGUUAUAAGGGAAGAAAGGUGAUAGGAGGAAAUGACUAUCAAUUGACGGUACCUUAUGAGAAAGCCACGGCUAACUACGUGCCAGCAGCCGCGGUAAUACGUAGGUGGCAAGCGUUAUCCGGAAUUAUUGGGCGUAAAGAGCGCGCAGGUGGUUAAUUAAGUCUGAUGUGAAAGCCCACGGCUUAACCGUGGAGGGUCAUUGGAA